GAUGAAGAACGCAGCGAAAUUCGAUAAGUAAUGUGAAUUGCAGAAUUCAGUGAAUCAUCGAAUCUUUGAACGCACCUUGCGCCCUUUGGCCAUUCCGAAGGGCAUGCCUGUUUGAGUAUCAUGAACACCUCAACUCUUCAUGGUUUUCCAUGAUGAGCUUGGACUUUGGGGGUCUUGCUGGCCUGUGGGUCGGCUCCUCUCAAAUGAAUCAGCUUGCCGGUUUUUGGUGGGCAUCACAGGUGUGAUAACUAUCUACGCUUGUGGUUUUCCACCAGGGUAACCUUCAGCAGUGGAGGUUCACUGGAGCUUACAAAUGUCUCUCCUCUGUGAGGACAGCCCUUUGAAUGUUUGAUCUCAAAUCAGGUAGGACUACCCGCUGAACUUAAGCAUAUCAAUAAGCGGAGGA
rnacentral:misc_RNA from 1 species